rnacentral:rRNA from 1 species
ACGAACGCUGGCGGCGUGCUUAACCCCUGCAAGUCGCACGGAAAGGCCCUGCUUUUGUGGGGUGCUCGAGUGGCGAACGGGUGAGUAACACGUGAGUAACCUGCCCUUGACUUUGGGAUAACUUCAGGAAACUGGGGCUAAUACCGGAUAGGAGCUCCUGCUGCAUGGUGGGGGUUGGAAAGUUUCGGCGGUUGGGGAUGGACUCGCGGCUUAUCAACUUGUUGGUGGGGUAGUGGCUUACCAAGGCUUUGACGGGUAGCCGGCUUGAGAGGGUGACCGGCCACAUUGGGACUGAGAUACGGCCCAGACUCCUACGGGAGGCAGCAGUGGGGAAUAUUGCACAAUGGGCGGAAGCCUGAUGCAGCAACGCCGCGUGCGGGAUGACGGCCUUCGGGCUGUAAACCGCUUUCGCCUGUGACGAAGCGUGAGUGACGGUAAUGGGUAAAGAAGCACCGGCUAACUACGUG